rfam:Salmo salar isolate Sally breed double haploid chromosome ssa14, whole genome shotgun sequence.
UAUAAGGUGAAUUAUAAGUCGCUCUGGAUAAGAGCGUCUGCUAAAUGACUUAAA